CUCAUUUAACAAUCAUUACUUUCUCACACACCUCAUCUCCAAAUACAGCCAUCUGGCAGUUGGGCUUCAAUAUAAGAAUUUUUGAAGCACCGCAGCAGUCUGUAACAACAGGAUUCUGUCUCCAAAUACAGUCACAGCCCAAAGGACCGGAAGUUGGCUUUCAACACAUGCACUCUGAGGGACACAGUACAGCCCUCAGGGCUGUGAUCUGUAAUCGUCCUCCGCAUCCUCACCAACAGAAGCCACUAAGCUCGCGGUCGAGCAGCGGGGAAGGAGCGGGUAGACCAGCAGGCUCCCUUGCCCAACUCUCCCUGAUGAUGCACAGCUUGUUUCUCUGGGGUGUACCCCUGUUUACUCAUGUACCCCACAUAUUUCCAAAGGA
rnacentral:lncRNA from 1 species